rnacentral:rRNA from 1 species
UACGGAGGGUGCAAGCGUUGUUCGGAUUUACUGGGCGUAAAGCGCGUGUAGGCGGCUUUGCAAGUCGGAUGUGAAAGCCCACGGCUCAACCGUGGAAGUGCAUCCGAAACUGCAUGGCUUGAGUCUCGGAGAGGAAGGUGGAAUGCUUGGUGUAGAGGUGAAAUUCGUAGAUAUCAAGCAGAACACCUGCGGCGAAGGCGGCCUUCUGGACGAUGACUGACGCUGAGACGCGAAAGCGUGGGGAGCAAACAGG